rnacentral:lncRNA from 1 species
CCUGCUCCUGCUGCUCCUUUGGGAUGGGCAGCAGGGAAAUUGGGACACACCGUGCAGUGGCAGCACACUGGGCUGUACCAAAACCCUGAAAUGCUGUGCCAUGCUGUGCCGUGCCAUGCUGUGCCGUGCUGUGCUCUGCUGUGCCGUGCCAUGUUGUGCCGUGCCAUGCCAUGCUGUGCCGUGCUGUGCUCUGCUGUGCCGUGCCAUGUUGUGCCGUGCCAUGCCAUGCUGUGCCGUGCUGUGCUAUGCUGUGCCGUGCCAUGCCAUGCUGUGCCAUGCUGUGCUGUGCCGUGCCAUGCUGCGCCAUGUUGUGCUGUGCUGUGCUGUGCCAUGCUGUGCCAUGCUGUGCCAUGCUGUGCCAUGCUGUGCUGUGCCAUGCCAUGCUGCGCCAUGUUGUGCCGUGCUGUGCUGUGCUGUGCCAUGCUGUGCCAUGCUGUGCCGUGCUGUGCCGUGCCACGCUCUGCUAUGCCAUACUGGUCACCCAGGCUCAGAGUUGUCAUCCCUGCAGGGCUGUGCCAUGCCGUGCUGUGCUGGGCUGUGCCAUGCCAUUCUGUGCUGUGCUGUGCAGGCUGCCCUUGCUCCACAACAUCAUCCUUCCUGUGCUGUGCCGUGCCAUGCCAUGCUGUACCAUGCCUUGCCUUGCUGUGCCAUGCUGUGCUAUGCCAUGCUGUUCAGGCUGCUCUGGCUCCACAGUGUCACCCUUGCUGUGCUGUGCCAUGCCAUGCUAUGCCAUUCAGGCUGCCCAGGCUCAGCGGAGCCAUCCCUGCAGGGCUGUACCAUACAGUGCCGUGCCACGCUGCCCCUUGCCCUGCCGUGCCAUGUUGUGCCGUGCCGUGCAGUGCCAGCUGCCCAGGCUUGGUGGUGCUGUGCUUGCCGGGAAGCACUGUGAGCUGCAGGACUGCACGUGUGUGGCCGUACCUGGCCCACAUCGGCUGGUUCCGAGGCCGGUGCCUGAGCUGUGCCCUGCCUGGUCGCCACGCAGCCCAGGACUUGUGCCUGAUGUGCCCCCUCCUGCAUACCGCUGGUGCCCGGCACAUCUCAGUGCCACCGCUGCUCUCACCACACCACAGGGCACAGCAGCUGCGCCAAGGCUCAGCCAGCACCAGGGACACCAGGGUUACCAUCGGUGUCCCACCUGCAGCAUGUCAGCCUGCCCGAGGGGACACAACCCCACCCUGUGUGCUGGGGACAGGACACGUCCACAGAAGGUCAGGACACCCCCUGGUGGGACAGGAC